rnacentral:rRNA from 1 species
UGGGGGAAUUUUGGACAAUGGGGGAAACCCUGAUCCAGCCAUCCCGCGUGUGCGAUGAAGGCCUUCGGGUUGUAAAGCACUUUUGGCAGGAAAGAAACGUCGCGGGUUAAUACCCCGCGAAACUGACGGUACCUGCAGAAUAAGCACCGGCUAACUACGUGCCAGCAGCCGCGGUAAUACGUAGGGUGCAAGCGUUAAUCGGAAUUACUGGGCGUAAAGCGUGCGCAGGCGGUUCGGAAAGAAAGAUGUGAAAUCCCAGAGCUUAACUUUGGAACUGCAUUUUUAACUACCGGGCUAGAGUGUGUCAGAGGGAGGUGGAAUUCCGCGUGUAGCAGUGAAAUGCGUAGAUAUGCGGAGGAACACCGAUGGCGAAGGCAGCCUCCUGGGAUAACACUGACGCUCAUGCACGAAAGCGUGGGGAGCAAACAGGAUUAGAUACCCUGGUAGUCCACGCCCUAAACGAUGUCAACUAGCUGUUGGGGGCCUUCGGGCCUUGGUAGCGCAGCUAACGCGUGAAGUUGACCGCCUGGGGAGUACGGUC